ACUUAGAUUUGCAAUAUUGUAUAACUUCAAAAGUGGUCAUCCUAGAAAGUGAACAACUCAUCUUUAAUGGCAAAUACUGAAGAAUCUAAUGAGAUGGCUACCACAUCUUCAACAAUAUUCAUACAGAAAAUAUGUAAUGAAGAUCACUUCCCAUCUAAGGUGGCUUGCUUAUCCCACAUUAUUGUCAUUGACAACAUAAAGAAGAACUUGAAUGAAACCCAACUAGAGAUGUUUAAAAAAUCUUGUUUUGGCCACUUCUUAGGUAUGGCUAAUUUGAAAUUUUCUGCUCAAAUUGUUCAUAAUAUGUUGUUACGCCAAUGUGACAUUAGAAGAGAAGAUGAGAUGUGGAUACUUGUUCACUCAAAAGGAUUGAGAUUUAGUGCGUCGGAGUUUGCAUUGAUAACUGGGUUGAAAUUUGGUAAUAUUUCACAAUUUGACUUAACAUCUUCAAGAAUAAGAGAUCAAUAUUUCAAUGGAGAGAAUAAGAUUCAUAAUAAUCGAUUGGAGGAGGUUUUCAUCUCAUUAUGUAAGAAAGGAAAGAGAACAAGCACAAAGAGGGCAAAAAAAAAGGCAAAGUUAAGUGGGAAAUCAAAUCUUGAUGAAGAUAUUGUGAAGUUAGCAUUGUUGUACUUUGUUGAGCAUGUCCUACUAGGAAAAGAAGGGAAGAAUUUGAUAGAUUUACAAUGGGUUCAACUUGUUGAUAGUCUAGAGGAGUUCAACAAGUAUCCUUGGGGAAGAAUUUGCUAUGAAAGAACAUUGUUUGGGUUGCAAAGGGCUUUGGAUAAAAGACAGUCAAAAUAUGUAGAGAAAAAAAAAAGGAGGAAUGCAACCUAUGAAGCAUAUGCACUUGUGGGAUUUCCAUAUGCCUUUCAAAUUUGGGCAUAUGAAGUCAUUCCAUUGCUUGGAAUGAAAUAUGCAAGUCGCAUUGGUAGAAGUUUCCCCAGAAUUUUAAAUUGGACAAGUAUUGCAACUCCAAAAUACACUGAGAUUCAAUCCUUAUUUGUAGAGUCAAAUUUAUCUUUGCAUUCCAUACUCAUUCCCACAUUGGAAGAGCGUGAACAAGAGUAUGUGAAAUGUUUUGAAUUCGAGGUUGAAUCAAAUGAUGUCUUCCAAGAUGAUGUGAAUGAUUGGGAGAAAGAUGAAGAUCAUGAAGAAGCCGAGGCCUAUACCACUGCUACAACAACAACAAUGAAAUGUGGAAAAAAAGGUGAUAGUUCUAAUUAAAUUACCUUCAUUCAAGGUAACUAAACUGAAAGUUAUUAACAUUAUUUCACUAUACAUGUUUAAGAAUGUUUGACUAAUGUUAUGAUGUUUUUUGUGAUGUAAAGGAAUUGUUUAUGAUGUUCAUCAACUUUCAAGAAAAGACAGAAGCAAAUUUUAAUGAAGUUAGAGCAGAAUUGAAAGAAGUAGGAAGCAAGAUUGAUGGUUUGAGGAAGCUAUUAUUGGAUGUUGGAAACUCGAGUAAUGAGCCAUAUACUGCAACAAUGGGAAAUGAAACAAUGUUCGACUUCAAAAAAAUUGAGACAUCCAAGAAAGACAAUGAUAAGGAGGCUUUGAUAGAUGACCCACCUAAUGCAACAGUAGUUAAUGUUUUCUCACAUCAAGUAUCACCGAAUAUUUUUAAGCGAAGAAGGGAAGUAAAAAAAUCUUACCUAUUGCAACACCCAUUUAUAGAUCCCACUAAGAGAAGGAAGUUGGUAAUGACUAAGACUGACAUAGCAUCAUCAAUCUUUGAUCCAUUGCAACCACCAUCAAUGGAGGCAAAGAUGGCCUAUA